AAGGAGUACAAGAAAAUAAUGAAGUACCAAGAGCUGAAGGAGUAACUGGAGCAGAUGUGGAAGAUAAAGUCCAAAGUGGUCCCAGUGGUAACAGGAGCACUAGGAGGUGUAACCCCCAAAUUGUAAGAGUGGCUCCAGCAGAUUCCAGCCACAACAUCAGAGCUCUCUGUACAGAAGAGUGUAGUCCUAAGAACAGCUAAG